GGGGGCUUAGCUUAGUUGGUAGAGCGUCUGAUUUGCAUUCAGAAGGUCAGGAGUUCGAAUCUCCUAGCCUCCA
rfam:Protochlamydia naegleriophila strain KNic genome assembly, chromosome: cPNK